rnacentral:rRNA from 1 species
CGCUGCCCGUUCGACGAUUUUCCGGGUUGAUCCCGGCGGAGGUCACUGCUAUCGGGGUUCGAUUAAGACAUGCGAGUCGAGAGGGUUCGGCCCUCGGCGUACUGCUCAGUAACACGUGGAUAACCUGCCCUAAGGAAGGGGAUACCCCCGGGAAACUGGGGAUAAUACCCUAUAGGUUACAGAUGCUGGAAUGCUCUGUAACCGAAAGUUCCGGCGCCUUAGGAUGGAUCUGCGGCCGAUUAGGUUGUUGUCGGGGUAACGGCCCAACAAGCCAGUAAUCGGUACGGGUUGUGGGAGCAAGAGCCCGGAGUUGGAUUCUGAGACACGAAUCCAGGCCCUACGGGGCGCAGCAGGCGCGAAAACUUUACAAUGCGGGCAACCGUGAUAAGGGAACCUCGAGUGCCUGUAUAUGCAGGCUGUCUGGGUGUCUAAAACACACCUAAAGAAAGGGCCGGGCAAGACCGGUGCCAGCCGCCGCGGUAAUACCGGCGGCUCGAGUGGUGGCCACUUUUAUUGGGCUUAAAGCGUUCGUAGCUGGGUUAUUAAGUCCCUUGGGAAAUCCGACGGCUUAACCGUCGGGCGUCUAAGGGAUACUGGCAAUCUUGGAACCGGGAGAGGUGAGGGGUACUUCGGGGGUAGGAGUGAAAUCCUGUAAUCCUCGAGGGACCACCUGUGGCGAAGGCGCCUCACCAGAACGGCUUCGACAGUGAGGGACGAAAGCUGGGGGAGCAAACCGGAUUAGAUACCCGGGUAGUCCCAGCCGUAAACGAUGUGCGUUAGGUGUAUCGGUGACCACGAGUCACCGGGGUGCCGAAGGGAAACCGUGAAACGUACCGCCUGGGAAGUACGGUCGCAAGGCUGAAACUUAAAGGAAUUGGCGGGGGGGCAC